ACUGUCCACAAGUGUUGGGAGGCUGGCAGCCAGCAUUGUUGAUUUGAAGAACAUUCAUGUGGUGGACACAGCGUCCUCCCAAGAGGCUUAUGCAAACUCGUUGAAUUUAAAGCUGAUCAACUCCAACGUCUUAAAAAAAAUCUACCUGGCCACCAACUUCAACCUGGCCACCCAUGGCCUUGGGUGUGAACUCCAUUAAGUUUACAGAAGAAUAUUUGUUGCAAUGUGCUGAUGCACAAAUUGAAGCCCUAAAAGGUGAAAGACUAGAAGAGGAAGAGGCCUAGGUCUAUGUUGCUGUAUCCAGGUCUGCAGUAUGUUGCUGUAUACUACUGUAGAUCGUUUCUACUGUGUCUGUGUUAACCUGUGUUCAAGUUAAACCAUCCUUAACUUUAACUGUUUACUGUAACUGUUUACAACUGUGAAUGAAAGUAACGCAUCAUCACACAAACUGUUGUAUCAGAAGUAUUUAUGUUUUUAAGUUGUUGUUGGUUUCCAAUUUCAUUGAGUAAUUCAACAAGUACACCGAACAACAAUUUAAAUGCAACAUGUAAAG